GAUGAAGAACGUAGCGAAAUGCGAAAAGUAAUGUGAAUUGCAGAAUUCAGUGAAUCAUCGAAUCUUUGAACGCACAUUGCGCCCGCCAGUAUUCUGGCGGGCAUGCCUGUCUGAGCGUCAUUUCAACCCUCAUGCCCCUAGGGCGUGGUGUUGGGGAUCGGCCAGCGCCCGCGAGGGACGGCCGGCCCCUAAAUCUAGUGGCGGACCCGUCGUGGCCUCCCCUGCGAAGUAGUGAUAUUCCGCAUAGGAGAGCGACGAGCCCCUGCCGUUAAACCCCCAACUUUCUAAGGUUGACCUCAGAUCAGGUAGGAAUACCCGCUGAACUUAAGCAUAUCAUAAGCGGAGGA
rnacentral:misc_RNA from 1 species